UGGGGAAUAUUGCACAAUGGGCGAAAGCCUGAUGCAGCAACGCCGCGUGCGGGAAGAAGGCCCUAGGGUUGUAAACCGCUUUCAGCAGGGAAGAAAAUGACGGUACCUACAGAAGAAGGUGCGGCCAACUACGUGCCAGCAGCCGCGGUGACACGUAGGCACCAAGCGUUGUCCGGAUUUAUUGGGCGUAAAGAGCUCGUAGGCGGUUCAGUAAGUCGGGUGUGAAAACUCUGGGCUCAACCCAGAGACGCCACCCGAUACUGCUGUGACUUGAGUACGGUAGGGGAGUGGGGAAUUCCUGGUGUAGCGGUGAAAUGCGCAGAUAUCAGGAGGAACACCAGUGGCGAAGGCGCCACUCUGGGCCGUAACUGACGCUGAGGAGCGAAAGCGUGGGGAGCAAACAGGAUUAGAUACCCGGGUAGUCCCUGAGCGGGCUGGCAAGGCG
rnacentral:rRNA from 1 species